rnacentral:rRNA from 1 species
GACGAACGCUGGCGGCGUGCCUAAUACAUGCAAGUCGAACGCUUCUUUCCUCCCGAGUGCUUGCACUCAAUUGGAAAGAGGAGUGGCGGACGGGUGAGUAACACGUGGGUAACCUACCCAUCAGAGGGGGAUAACACUUGGAAACAGGUGCUAAUACCGCAUAACAGUUUAUGCCGCAUGGCAUAAGAGUGAAAGGCGCUUUCGGGUGUCGCUGAUGGAUGGACCCGCGGUGCAUUAGCUAGUUGGUGAGGUAACGGCUCACCAAGGCCACGAUGCAUAGCCGACCUGAGAGGGUGAUCGGCCACAC